GUAAGGCGAUAUAAGAGGUGCAGAAUAGGUGGGAGCCUGGGUAAAACACUAUCUCCCCGGCACCAAUGAGAUACCACCACUCUUACUGUUGCCUUACUUACAUGAUCACGUGGAACAAGUGCAAGGUUAUUGCAACCUCCUGGCAUAAGGUUUCUUGUUCAGCGUUCAGUCAUG
rnacentral:ncRNA from 1 species